rnacentral:rRNA from 1 species
GAUGAACGCUGGCGGCGUGCCUAAUACAUGCAAGUCGAGCGAACAGACGAGGAGCUUGCUCCUCUGACGUUAGCGGCGGACGGGUGAGUAACACGUGGAUAACCUACCUAUAAGACUGGGAUAACUUCGGGAAACCGGAGCUAAUACCGGAUAAUAUAUUGAACCGCAUGGUUCAAUAGUGAAAGACGGUUUUGCUGUCACUUAUAGAUGGAUCCGCGCCGCAUUAGCUAGUUGGUAAGGUAACGGCUUACCAAGGCAACGAUGCGUAGCCGACCUGAGAGGGUGAUCGGCCACACUGGAACUGAGACACGGUCCAGACUCCUACGGGAGGCAGCAGUAGGGAAUCUUCCGCAAUGGGCGGAAGCCUGACGGAGCAACGCCGCGUGAGUGAUGAAGGUCUUCGGAUCGUAAAACUCUGUUAUUAGUGAAGAACAAAUGUGUAAGUAACUAUGCACGUCUUGACGGUACCUAAUCAGAAAGCCACGGCUAACUACGUG